rnacentral:rRNA from 1 species
GACGAACGCUGGCGGCGUGCUUAACACAUGCAAGUCGAACGGAAAGGCCCUGCUUUUGUGGGGUGCUCGAGUGGCGAACGGGUGAGUAACACGUGAGUAACCUGCCCUUGACUUUGGGAUAACUUCAGGAAACUGGGGCUAAUACCGGAUAGGAGCUCCUGCUGCAUGGUGGGGGUUGGAAAGUUUCGUCGGUUGGGGAUGGACUCGCGGCUUAUCAGCUUGUUGGUGGGGUAGUGGCUUACCAAGGCUUUGACGGGUAGCCGGCCUGAGAGGGUGACCGGCCACAUUGGGACUGAGAUACGGACCAGACUCCUACGGGAGGCAGCAGUGGGGAAUAUUGCACAAUGGGCGGAAGCCUGAUGCAGCAACGCCGCGUGCGGGAUGACGGCCUUCGGGUUGUAAACCGCUUUCGCCUGUGACGAAGCGUGAGUGACGGUAAUGGGUAAAGAAGCACCGGCUAACUACGUG